UAUAAAUAGAGGAUAAUGGAAUUUCUAUUGGAGUGAUAAAAUGCGUUGAUAAUAGAAGGAAGGCCUAUGGCGAAGGCAAUUAUCUGGGUAUAUACUGACACUGAGAAACGAAAGCUUGGGUAGCGAACGGGAUUAGAUACCCCGGUAGUCCAUGCCGUAAACGAUGAGUGCUAAUAUUUAGAAUUUUUAGAUAUAACAGCUAACGCGUUAAGCACUCCGCCUGAAAAGUAUAAUCGCAAGAUUGAAAUUCAAAGGAAUUGACGGGAGUCUACACAAGCGGUGGAGCAUGUGGUUUAAUUCGAUAAUACGCGCAAAACCUUACCAACUCUUGCUAAUUUUUAUAUAAAAUUUUAUAUAAAAAACAGGUGUUGCAUGGCUGUCGUCAGCUCGUGUUGUGAAAUGUUUGGUUAAAUCCUUUAACGAGCGCAACCCCUAUUGUUAGUUGCUAAUUUAUUAAAAUAAAAUAAAAGAACUUUAACAAAAAGAUUAAUGAUAGGUUAAUGGAAGAUGGGGAUGACGUCAAGUCUUUAUGGCCCUUAUGAGUUGGGCUACACACGUGCUACAAUGAUAAUCACAAUGAGAAGCAAUAAUGUUAAGUUGGAGCAAAUCUUUAAAAAUUAUCUUAGUUCGGAUUAAGGGCUGAAACUCGCCCUUAUGAAGUUGGAAUCGCUAGUAAUCGCAAAACAGCAUGUUGCGGUGAAUAUGUUACUGGACUUUGUACACACCGCCCGUCACAUCAGGGAAGUUAAUUAUUUUUAAAAUGAUUUUAAUGUAUUUAAUAAUUUUAAAUAACUAUUUAAUUAAAAUAAUUUAUAAUUUAAUUUAAAUAAAUUAAAAUACUUAGAAAGUAAUUAGUAACUUUGAUGAAGUCGUAACAAGGUAGUCGUAGGGGAACCUGUGUCUG
rnacentral:rRNA from 1 species